AUGGCUCAGGAUGAACGCUGGCGGCGUGCCUAAUACAUGCAAGUCGAGCGAAUGGAUUGAGAGCUUGCUCUCAAGAAGUUAGCGGCGGACGGGUGAGUAACACGUGGGUAACCUGCCCAUAAGACUGGGAUAACUCCGGGAAACCGGGGCUAAUACCGGAUAACAUUUUGAACUGCAUGGUUCGAAAUUGAAAGGCGGCUUCGGCUGUCACUUAUGGAUGGACCCGCGUCGCAUUAGCUAGUUGGUGAGGUAACGGCUCACCAAGGCAACGAUGCGUAGCCGACCUGAGAGGGUGAUCGGCCACACUGGGACUGAGACACGGCCCAGACUCCUACGGGAGGCAGCAGUAGGGAAUCUUCCGCAAUGGACGAAAGUCUGACGGAGCAACGCCGCGUGAGUGAUGAAGGCUUUCGGGUCGUAAAACUCUGUUGUUAGGGAAGAACAAGUGCUAGUUGAAUAAGCUGGCACCUUGACGGUACCUAACCAGAAAGCCACGGCUAACUACGUGCCA
rnacentral:rRNA from 1 species